rnacentral:rRNA from 1 species
GCAUCCUACGGGGGGCAGCAGUAGGGAAUCUUCCACAAUGGGCGAAAGCCUGAUGGAGCAACGCCGCGUGGGUGAAGAAGGUCUUCGGAUCGUAAAACCCUGUUGUUAGAGAAGGAAGCGCGUGAGAGUAACUGUUCACGUUUCGACGGUAUCUAACCAGAAAGCCACGGCUAACUACGUGCCAGCAGCCGCGGUAAUACGUAGGUGGCAAGCGUGAUCCGGAUUUAUUGGUCGUAAAGGGAACGCAGGCGGUGUUUUAAGUCUGAUGUGAAAGCGUUCGGCUUAACCGGGGUAGUG